AUUGAACGCUGGCGGCAUGCCUUACACAUGCAAGUCGAACGGUAACAGGUCUACGGAUGCUGACGAGUGGCGAACGGGUGAGUAAUGCAUCGGAACGUGCCCAGUAGUGGGGGAUAGCCCGGCGAAAGCCGGAUUAAUACCGCAUACGACCUGAGGGUGAAAGGGGGGGAUCGCAAGACCUCUCGCUAUUGGAGCGGCCGAUGUCAGAUUAGCUAGUUGGUGGGGUAAAGGCCUACCAAGGCAACGAUCUGUAGUUGGUCUGAGAGGACGACCAGCCACACUGGGACUGAGACACGGCCCAGACUCCUACGGGAGGCAGCAGUGGGGAAUUUUGGACAAUGGGCGCAAGCCUGAUCCAGCAACGCCGCGUGCAGGAAGAAGGCCUUCGGGUUGUAAACUGCUUUUGUCAGGGAAGAAAUCUUCUGGGUUAAUACCUCGGGAGGAUGACGGUACCUGAAGAAUAAGCACCGGCUAACUACGUGCCAGCCGCCGCAGUAA
rnacentral:rRNA from 1 species